rnacentral:rRNA from 1 species
GAUGAACGCUGGCGGCAUGCCUAACACAUGCAAGUCGGACGGGAAGCGGUGUUUCCAGCGGCGGACGGGUUAGUAACGCGCAAGAACCUGCCCCGGGGAGGGCAACAAUAGCUGGAAACGGUAGCUAAUACCCCGUGGGCCGAGGAGCAAAAGGUGGAAUCCGCCCCAGGAGGGGCUCGCGUCUGACUCGUUGGUUGGCAAGGCAACAGCUUACCAAGCCGAUGAACAGUAGCGGACCCGAGAGGGGGUUCGGACACAGUGGAACUGAGACACGGGCCAGGCUGGGACUGGGGGCAGCAGCAGGGACUCUCGCGAAACAGGCGAGAGGAUGAUGGCGCAAUGGGGGGUGGGCUAUCGAGGCCUUGCGGCGUGAAAGUAGAGGGACUACGGAUCGUGAAAUUCGUAACUCAGAGAGGAAGCAAUGACGGUAUCUGGUGAGAAAGCAUCGGCUAACUCCGUG